GUUUAGCAGCAGUGUCGAUCGUUCUGUGCCACAGUCCAACAGGACUGAGAUACCAAUGGUUAAACUAGCGAUAGAACAUACUGCUAUUGCUAAAUAGAAAUAACCAAGCACCUGCACUUUGGAGCAGGACUUGGGCUGGUCCUAGGACUUGGACUAGGAGAGGCUGGUGAAAGAAAGUUGUUUCUUCACUCAGCUGAUUCUGCUUACUGCUGAGGGUAACUUUACAGGAAGAGUGCUCUGCCUGGGCUCCUUUACCGUGGCUAUUUAAUGGCUGAAAAACUGAAAAAAGAACUAUGUUUUCUUCACAAGCUGCGACCUUCCUAAAGUAAUCAUCUAGCACAAGUUUGCCUCCUGGACUAUUCCAGAAAUUGAUCUUCCAGUAACUGAGAGAACUCAAAAAUACCCAAUGCUGAUGUGGCUUCAGUAGUCAUUGUGGUCUCUUCCUCAGAAGAAAGUCUGAAAAUAGGGGUCCCCACAGGGUUUUGUUCUGUAGUUUACAGAGGCUAUAAAUAUAUUAAUCAACCCUAAUGAUUCUCCAGAAUAUAUUCACUUCAAUACUAAUGGCUAGAUUGCCCCAUAAUGAAGAGAGAUUUUAUGAUAUUUUUGUCUAGUUCUAUUGCACUUUUAGUGGCUGGAGAGAUUCCAUUUAAGUUAAUCUCGUGUCUCUCCUUCAGGAAGCAAGGUCAUGUCCAGUAUCAGUUAAAUAUAUGGCACUACGCCUAUCAAGACUUUUGGAUCUUGCAGUUCCAGGGGCAGAUUUCAACACACGCAGUCCUUUACUAAUAUUAAAUAGCAAAAUUGCCUUAAGGAUCAUUAAAACCGUUGUGAUUUUUUUGUGCAUCUGCUGUUUGUCUCUCAGUGGAAUCUGACCUCUCCUUGCUUUGUGUGCCUUGAAGGGUAAGACUUCUUUGAUGUUCUCUCUCUGUAUUCACUCUUCAGUGCAGUCCCUACUGCUCCUGGAACAGCUGUUCCUCUGCUGCUCAAUCUCAGUUCUUUGGCUUCUUUCACCCUGUCUGUAAACAUGGCUGUAUGUUCCAAAUAAGCUUUCCAACACUCAUUCUCUGCUAGCAUUUAUCAGACCUUAUUAGUUAGUGUUAGUAUUUCCAAGUCCAGUUUGCCAAUGGUCUUUCCUAGCCAAGUGGGCUUCUUUCUAUUCACAUCCUCCUUAAAGCUGCUUUAGGACCACUGGCACUUCACAUCUCCACCGUAUCCUUCAGUGAGCCUGCAUUCCUGCUUUCUGCUUUUACCUCCUGAACCUCCUUGUUCCCUUCAGCACCUCCUCUGGCAGAUCCUCCCACUCCCUCUCCACUGUCUGUUGGCACCCUUCAGAUUUUCACCCUCGGUCCUCCUCCCUUCAUCUUUGUAGUACCUAUUUUGGCUAACUCGUCCUCCCCAUCAGUUUCUGUUACUUAUAACUCUUUUCCUCCUGUUGUGAAUUUGUUGCUUCUUUGAUAUUGCACUGCCAUCCUAAACUCUCUUUUGAUGGGGCUUUCUUAGCUAUCUCAAGUACGCUCUUUUCUCCCGCUUUAAGUUAUUGUACCAUCUUCUUGUCUUGCAGCUCUAAUGUCAGUGUUGAUUUCUCAUUCUCUCCUUAUGUCUCUAUCUACACAGUUAUUAAAUCAGAUUUUAUUCCAUAUGACAUUAGCUAGUCUAUCCGUGGCAGUUUGUCUUCAUUGCUUCAGUACUUGUCCAUUUUUGCUCUCAUUUCCAAGCAUCUUUUUGCUAUUUUCUAAAACAAAUUAGCUAUGCAUAUGUUCACUCUUUUCUAACCAUAUCUCCCUUUAAUCCAAAUCAUUUCACCUGCUUCCUCAGUCUUACUACAUAAUCCCUUUUAAUGCUUUGGAUAACCUCUCUCCCCGAACCUCUUUGAAUUUACCUACAACCUUUUUUUUUUUUUUUUUUUUCCCUGCCAAGGUCCUCAUUUCAUUGUCAUUUUUUUACAGGCUUCCUGCAGUCUAGAGAGGAGGUAAUUCACUUCAUUUUGGCUUUUUAUCCUAUUUCUGUCAUUAGCAAACUAAUUAAUGAUACCUAACACCAGCAUGUGUGCUGGAGAGACUACAGUAAUGAGGUGAGACUUCCAAAAUGAACUUAUGUCCCUCCAAUUCAACACUGAUUUGUCGUUCUCUGGAAGUCUCGUAUCGGUGUUCAUAAUCUGUGAUUGGCAUCCUUUUGUGUCAGCAGCCCAGCAAGGUGGAGAGCAAAAAGGAGAAAGGGAAAGAACUUUUCUGCAUUUCCUAAGAGUGGAUUGAGUUAGAUGAAGGAAUACUCUCAUCCUAUUAUGAAAAAAAUCAAGCACUCCCCUGCAGGAGACAGCUGGGAACACUAAAAUAGUGCAAUGGGAACAUGUAGACAGCAUUUUAGCCCUGAAAUAAGCAGUGUGGCAAGUGUUGUCUUUGUCUUUUUAUGUACUGUUUUAUAGGACUGUCCUUCAUUUUGUCUUACAGCAGUAAUGUUUGUGGCACUUCAACAAAAACGGCUUUUGCAGUUAUUAAAAUGCUGAGGUGUUUACUCUCAAAUUCUUUGUUGCAGCGAUUUGUUUCUCUUGGGCACCAAUCUUUACAGAGAGCGAAAGGGGCAGAACAACCUGUAGCACUGUCUGUCUCAGGAUCUUGGCACUUUCAAAUGGUGCAUUCAUUGAGGUCUCUGUCUUUACUGGAUGGAUGUGUAGAUGUCAGCACAGCAGAUUGGUCUCAUGGCACUGUGGUCGCUUACAUUCAUCGUUACAGCAUUUGGGUGAGACGGGCUGCAGCUGCCGAUACGCACAGGGUGACCUUCCUGUUUCCGAAUGCUAUUAAGUCCUAAUGGCAGGAGACCUCUGCAUCCUGAGGGAAGGAUUUAAACCACCGAAACUGCGCCGGCUGGCAGAACAGAAUUUACCAGCCCUUGGAGGAAGGCUAGAUGGAAUCUGAACAACCUCUGGGUCAGCCUGUGGCAGCAGAGGAUCCCUCCUCCCAUGGAAGAGGUGUUCGUACCGCUCAGGUGCCGCAGUGCUGCGCCGGCAGUCCCACCACAGCCCCCAGCAGAGGCACCUGGCAGGGCUGCCUCCAGCCCAGCUCAACAACACGAGCUGAACGAGCCCAAGUGCUUUCUGAAAGCACAGCUGUGCCCAGAUCGGGGCAGUUCCUGGCAUCACUAGGUGCGAUUUUUCCAUGCUCAUAGCCAGCAUAGUUACGCCUCUGAAACUUUGUAGUAGAGACCUGGCUGGAAUCCUUCAGAUCCUCGCUCUCAGCCUUGGCAAAGCAAGCCCUCUAACUCUGUUGGAGCCAAGGCAGCUCAGCUCUUCCCAUUUAACAGUCCAGACCUUGUUCUUUCAGUGACCAGAAAAGUUGUUCCUGCGGGAAUGGCUUAUCUCUCUGUUCACUGCUUCAUAUCCUGCCUAAAACACUACUAUGGGAUGUAUGGCUGCUCUACUGGAUGCCAAUAUCCAUCCUGUGCUUUUGGAAAGGCAAUUCAAAUUCUGUGCACAGGCUUCUGGCAUGCUGAAAGCUUUUGGUUGCCUGUGUCCAAAGGGCUUACUUGUACAUGUGUGCAGUGCUGGGUUAGCUGGCAGAAAAUAUCACAUUUCCAAACCCUCUGCAAGGAAUCAGUGCUGAAGUUCUGCCUCCCUGAUCUUGUAUUGAUGUUUCCUUUGCUAAUGGCAUGUUAGAACACAAGUUUUAUUUACCCAGGAUAAUAUUUCAUUUUGUCCAUGUGCUGAGGUGAUAAAGUACUUAAAUACAUUGGAUGAUCUUUUCCUAAUGCCAUUUGGUGUGUUUAUGUUGUGUUGCCAUUUUUUAGAGAUAAAAAGAGGCUGAAAGAGCACCAGAGCAUGGAAGAGAUACUUAUGAGUGUUGGGCCAUCAUCAGAGGAAAAAAGAGAGACAAAUAUGAAAAAGAAUGAGUGCUGUGUUUAGUACUUUCUUCUCAUCCUUCACACGGGCAUUUCUGGAAGAGUUCUGGUGUGAUACAGUGUGGUUAAGAUAAGCAGUGGCUGCAAAAGUGCAUAAAAAGUUAGAGAUGACCGACUGCGAUUUUUGCCCAGCCACCUCACAGUGGUGCUUCUCUUAGUGGUCCCUCAUUCAUUUGGACAAAGUAUCUUAGCACGAUAGGAUGUGAAACUUGGCCAUGAGGGGAGGUACACAGAUAAUUUGCUGGUUCUUUCAGCACUUGGAGAAGUUGAUUAUCAUCUGAGAAAGAUUCUCAAAUAUUGUUGAGUGCUGGUUCAAAUGCGACAUAUAAAUGAAGUGAGUUGGGGCUGUCUGCUGAUAUCCUCUAAAGCUACACAGCAGUGCUUCUACAAGAAGUAAGUGCCAGGCAAAGAAACCUGACUUACACAAGUGCAACGUUAUGGACGUGAAAACAAUCAAUGUCCAGAAUGAAAGGAGGCCAGAGAAAUAGUGGGACUCCCAUCACCCCUGUUCUAUUUUAAGGAAUGGUUGCUAGAUAAUGCCAUUCAUGGAGAGUGAAGAUGAAUGUUCUCCCAGUGAUACUUUACAAUAUUUUCAGUGGUAUAUUUGCUCAGCUUUGUAAAAUCCUGAUACAAGGGAACAAGUAAUAUGCAUCAAGUUUAUCGAAGCUCAUUAAUUUGAUGAAAUAUAUUGGAAGGAUUGAUUUAUUCACAAUAUUAAACAGCUACUUACGUGAAACUCUGCUUUCUGACUGGUAACGUGAGAACACACAUUGGUUGCUUGCUAUUUUGUUAAUACUUUCACAAAACCACAUCAGCCUCUUUGUUUUUCUGCUGUUUCUCACAGUUCAGCAGACAGCAACAUGCACUUAACAAAAAUAGAGAGGCUUAGAGACAUGUGCAAGAGACAGCUUCAGAAAAACUCUCAAGACAUGCUAAUCAUCUCUAAGAAGAAAAUAUGUUAUUGGCCUAGUAACCAAGGAACAGACAAAGCUUCCAGGAGAUAUGCAGACUUUAAAACAAUCUGCAGUAUAAUUCCACAUAAAUGGCACCAAAACAAUCUCCAAGGGAGUUGCUGCAUCAUUUUGUCACAGCUCAGCACAACACUUGGUCACUAAAUGAUGCAGCUCUUUGAUAUCUCAUUCCCAUUUUGGUUUGCUUAGGCAAAUCCAGAUGAUCUCUGCCCUGUGCAUCAGUGGAUGCUACAAUCAUUAUGGCUGUGCUCAGGCCCCCAUUCCACAGGAAGAACCACUGGAAUUGUUUACUAUGGAGAAAAGGAGGCUGAAGGGAGACCUUAUUGCUCUCUUCCAGUACCUGAAAGGUGAUUGCAGUGGGAGCAGGGCUGGUCUCUUCUCACUGGUGACAGGACGAGGGGAAAUGGCCCCAAGUUGCACCAGGGGAGGUUUAGGUUGGAUAUCAGGAAAAACUUCUCUACUGAAAGGGCUGUUAAGCACAGGAAUAGGCUCCCCAGGGAGGUGGUUGAGUCACCAUCCCUGAAUGUGUUUAAAAACCAUCUGGAUGUGGUGCUCAGAGAUAUGAUUUAGUGGAGGGUUGUUAGAGUUAGGGUAGCAUGAUUAGGCUGUGGUUGGACUUGAUGAUCUUUAAGGUCUUUUCCAACCUGAGCAAUUCUACGGUUCUAUGAUUCUAUGAUUCCUGCUCUGGUCUUGGCCAGCACAGAUCACUAACUCCAACCCCUGGCACCUGCACCAUCCCACCAUUCCUUCUGCAGAUGUGAAAUUCAGCAUGAGCAAAACUCACCCAGGUCUAGGUCAUAACAAGCCCUAGGUUAGAAAAACGUGGUGUUGUCAAUUUUAGUUGGUGUUUUGACUAAAUAUGCAAGGAUUAAUGGUACAAGUGGUUAUUCCAGCAUAUCUGAGAGGCCGUAUCCUCUGGAAAGGUGAACAAACAGCAUGACAGUGGCGGUGGGCUGCCUGGCAUGGGGUGGGUUCUUGUUCAAAUAGCGUCCUCCUCUCACCAAGCAAUAUCUGCCCGUGGUCUAAUAUUGAGUUAAACUGUUCUUACCUUAAAUAAAUGAAAGAUGUCUUAGUGCUUCAUUAUUGCAUAU
ensembl:lncRNA